rnacentral:rRNA from 1 species
GAUGAACGCUGGCGGCGUGCCUAAUACAUGCAAGUCGAGCGAACAGACGAUGAGCUUGCUCCUUCGACGUUAGCGGCGGACGGGUGAGUAACACGUAUGUAACCUACCUAUAAGACUGGGAUAACUUCGGGAAACCGGAUCUUAUACCGGAUAAUAUUUUGAACCGCAUGGUUCGUUAGUGAAUGUUGGCUUUUCUAUCUCUUAUAGCUGGACCUGCGCCGUAUUAGCUAGUUGGUAAGGUAACGGCUUACCAAGGCAACGAUACGUAGCCGACGUGAGAGGGUGAUAGGCAAAACUGGAAGUGAGAAACGGUCAAGAGUCCUACGGGAGGGAGCAGAAGGGAAUGUGCGGCAAAGGGCGAAAGCAUGACGGAGCAAGGGCGCGUGAGUGAUGAAGGUCUUCGGAUCGUAAAAAUCUGUUAUUAGGGAAGAACAAACGUGUAAGUAAAUGAGCACGUAGUGACGGUAACGAAUAAGAAAGCAACGGCUAACUACGUG